CGGAGUGUAGCACAGUGGGUAAGGAACUGGGCUUGUAACCAAAAGGUCGCAGGUUCGAUUCCUUUAAAUUUUA
rnacentral:tRNA from 1 species